UCAGAAGAGGUGGAGAACCUAUUCAGUUUAGGAUUACAAAUGCAAUACGGUCUUUCUCUAAUACAAUACUCUUAACCACAUUGUUUGGUUUGAUAGUUUAUUCAUGUCUACUAUCCAAUGUGAUUCGUGUGCUUAUAUGAUUACCUUGAAUGUGAUUUGGAACGACUUCCUAAAUCUCAUUCAUACUCUGGCCAGAGAUUCUUAAUCAUAUCAUAGAGUAUUCUCCCCCAAAAGGUUUGAAGGUUAGAGGUCCCUUGUUGCGCAUUCACUUGCCUCCAUGGCUAAGUGGCUUAACCCCGACGAUUCCGUGGACACCGCGGAUGGGGUGACUUUGACAUAAUCAAAGAUCAAGUACCUAACCACAAGACAACUAUGAUGCCUCAAGUCAAAUGACUACUUUGCAUUAUCCCAACCAUGAGUUCUCAUGUGACAUGAAUAUGAGAACUCUUCAUUGAUCGUGUUCAAUGAACUCAUUCUCUAUUGAGCACCUACAUGCUUGUCUUGGUGUCAAUCACACCAAUGACUCGAGACUAGUCACUCUCCCUAAGAAAAGACAUAGCAUGUACUGAUCUUAACGGACUGUCAAUGCCCAAUUGGCAAUCCUAUGAUCAGG
rnacentral:lncRNA from 1 species